UACGGAGGGUGCGAACGUUAAUCGGAAUCACUGGGCGUAAAGCGCGCGUAGGCGGUUUGUUAAGUGGGAUGUGAAAUCCCCGGGCUUAACCUGGGAAUUGCAUUUCAAACUGGCCGACUAGAGUACGGUAGAGGGAGGUAGAAUUUCCUGUGUAGCGGUGAAAUGCGUAGAUAUAGGGAGGAAUACCAGUGGCGAAGGCGGCCUCCUGGAUCGAUACUGACGCUGAGGCGCGAAAGCGUGGGGAGCAAACAGG
rnacentral:rRNA from 1 species